CGGGACUUAGUGCCGACGCUAACGCAUUAAGCACUCCGCCUGGGGAGUACGACCGCAAGGUUGAAACUCAAAGGAAUUGACGGGGGCCCGCACAAGCGGUGGAGCAUGUGGUUUAAUUCGAAGCAACGCGAAGAACCUUACCAGGUCUUGACAUCCCGAUGCCCGCUCUAGAGAUAGAGUUUUUCUUCGGAACAUCGGAGACAGGUGGUGCAUGGUUGUCGUCAGCUCGUGUCGUGAGAUGUUGGGUUAAGUCCCGCAACGAGCGCAACCCUUAUUGUUAGUUGCCAUCAUUAAGUUGGGCACUCUAGCGAGACUGCCGGUAAUAAACCGGAGGAAGGUGGGGAUGACGUCAAAUCAUCAUGCCCCUUAUGACCUGGGCUACACACGUGCUACAAUGGUUGGUACAACGAGUCGCAAGCCGGUGACGGCAAGCUAAUCUCUGAAAGCCAAUCUCAGUUCGGAUUGUAGGCUGCAACUCGCCUACAUGAAGUCGGAAUCGCUAGUAAUCGCGGAUCAGCACGCCGCGGUGAAUACGUUCCCGGGCCUUGUACACACCGCCCGUCACACCACGAGAGUUUGUAACACCCAAAGUCGGUGAGGUAACCAUUUAUGGGGCCAGC
rnacentral:rRNA from 1 species